rnacentral:rRNA from 1 species
UACGUAGGGUGCAAGCGUUGUCCGGAAUUACUGGGCGUAAAGAGCUCGUAGGUGGUUUGUCGCGUUGUUCGUGAAAACCGGGGGCUUAACCCUCGGCGUGCGGGCGAUACGGGCAGACUUGAGUACUGCAGGGGAGACUGGAAUUCCUGGUGUAGCGGUGGAAUGCGCAGAUAUCAGGAGGAACACCGGUGGCGAAGGCGGGUCUCUGGGCAGUAACUGACGCUGAGGAGCGAAAGCGUGGGGAGCGAACAGG